rnacentral:hammerhead_ribozyme from 1 species
AUCCAGGUGACGAGUCGCAAACAGUACAAAACGCGCGUCAUGGAU